GUAGUCUCGCACAGAUGCAUAUCAAUAAGCGGAGGAAAAGAAACUAACAAGGAUUCCCUUAGUAACGGCGAGUGAAGCGGGAAGAGCUCAAAUUUGAAAUCUUCAAGGUUUUACCUUGACGAAUUGUAGUUUAAAGAAGUGUUUUCUGUUGAAGUUUUGGUAAAAGUUCUUUGGAAUAGGACAUCAUAGAGGGUGAGAAUCCCGUAUUUGACCAUUAAUUUCAGCUGUGUGAUACACUUUCAAAGAGUCGGAUUGUUUGGGAAUGCAGUCCAAAAUGGGUGGUAAAUUUCAUCUAAAGCUAAAUAUUGGCGAGAGACCGAUAGCGAACAAGUACCAUGAGGGAAAGAUGAAAAGAACUUUGAAAAGAGAGUUAAACAGUACGUGAAAUUGUCAAAAGGGAAGCGUUUGACACCAGUGUUGUUUUUCUGAAAAUCAAUUAAAGAACUGUUUAUGCUAAGUUGUUUAGACUUUAUCAGCUAACUGUUUAGUUUUGAGCUUUUCUUUAAUGCACUUUUCAGUUAACAAGUCAACAUCAAUUUCUUUUGCUGUAAAAAAGCUUGAGGAAGGUGGCUUGAGAUUCGUCUUAAGUGUUUAUAGCCUCUUGCCUAUGCAGUCGGAGAGAUUGAGGUCUGCAGCGUAGAUCCUUCGGGGCUAAAUGCAUUUGUGCUAAGUUAUAGCAUUUUAUAGACAACUUGUUGACUAUGAUUUGUCUUGUAGCUUACUCGCUUAUGUUAUUUUACCUACGCUUAGGAUGUUGAUGUGAUACUGCGAGCA
rnacentral:rRNA from 1 species